rnacentral:lncRNA from 1 species
UCGGAAUUAUAGUUUUCUCUGCUGCUUUUUUUGAGGCAGAAUUGAUGCUUAUUAUCGGAUUCUACGUGUAGAGUUUGGCGGGAGCUUGACUUCUGGCCUUUGGAGGUUUUCGGUUGAUCCAGCAGGGUAUUCCCUUGUGUCGGGACUUCCUCGCUGCAGGGGAUUAGCGACUAAGGUGGGUUAAUCAUCGGCUUAUACUCCUAAGUGCUUAGUAGUCAACAUGUGCAAAUUUCAGAUUUUGUGUAGUUUAUUUUAACUCAAAUUCAUGAAUUAUUAUGUGAAUUGCAAAUCUGAAUUUGGAGCAUGUGAUAAUAAAUUAAGUAAUUUAUACAUGUUGGACUUGAAAAUUAAAUUAGGAGAAAACCGGCGAGUUGGACUUGUCAUCAGUUACACUACCUGAUUUAGCCCUAGGGGUCGUUGUAUUAUUUUAUACUGGAGCAGUAUCCUCAUAGUGAGUAGUCCAGAUAGUUUAGCUUUCAGUUACGCUCGUGCUGGGAUGCCGAGUAUAUUUUUAUAGUAGCGUUCAGGCUGUUCCGGACUGUUGGGUGCCGUCGAGGUUGACGGUGGACCCGUAUCGCCUUUUUAGGGACGGUUUGUGCCGAGGGCACGUGACCUGUUGGUGGUUAGACCAGUUAGAGUCGGUUACUUGGAUUUUGGCUUGAGGUAGAGCCUGAUUGAGCUCGACAGAGAUACGCUGCAUACUCGGUUGGGUAGCUCCCACGAGUGCCACUCCGGAGACGGGCGUUGUGCUUUCGCGUUGGUGUCGCUCAUGCCAGUUGGACUUGCUCUCCACGGACUAGAUGGUGUGGAGGUAGCUGGAUAGUCGCAACUAGGCAGGGACGGGUAUGUUGGUGUGGAGGUAGCUGGAUAGUCGCAACGGGGCAGGGACGGGUGUGUUCACAGUCCCAGGGACGGGUAUGCUUACAGUCCCAAUUAGAUUGGGUCAGAUUUGACAUUUCCUACAGUUGGUUAGUGUAGAGCAUGAUAGUGUAGUGAUUCAUAGCGUAGAUUUAUUCCUGCAUUAUUUCUACUUUUGCUCCCUUCUGUAGACUUAGUGGGUGGACCGAUGAUGUUGAGGGCGGCACCCACUGAGGACUACUUAUUUUAUAGUAGUUCUCACGCCCUGUUAUUACCCCAUUGGUUUGCAGAGCCUUCGACUUCGGCUGCUGCUGUCGCGGAUCAGGAUCGAUGCAAGGGCGUCACGAGUUAGAGCCCUACCCGACUAGCCGAGCUAGAGGUGCCCUACAGCAGGUAGUUGUUUUGUUGGAGUUCAUGUACAUACAUAUAUUUAACUCGCCAGUGCGAGUAGUUUUAUAUCUUGGAUUUGGCGUAUGUAUAUGGAACUCGGUUUGUUUUAUUUCUGGUUCUUCUAGCAGCUCUAUACUACUGUAGUAGUAUUGUAUGAUUUACAGGUACAGCUAUCGCUUCGUAUACAGGAAAAAUUCCUUUGUAUACGGCGGAUUUGU